rnacentral:rRNA from 1 species
UACAGAGGGUGCAAGCGUUGUUCGGAAUUAUUGGGCGUAAAGGGAGUGUAGGCGGUCCAUUAAGUCUUCUGUGAAAUCUACGGGCUUAGCCUGUAACGUGCAGAGGAAACUGGUGGACUUGAGUGUCGGAGAGGAUAGGGGAAUACCCGGUGUAGAGGUGAAAUUCGUAGAUAUUCGGAGGAACACCAGUGGCGAAGGCGGCUCACUGGCUCGACACUGACGCUGAGGUGCGAAAGCGUGGGGAGCAAACAGG